rnacentral:rRNA from 1 species
UCCAGGUAUAAGCAAACACAAAGUGAAACUGCGGAAUGGCUCAUUAUAUAAGUUAUCGUUUAUUUGAUAUUGCCUAUCCUACAUGGAUAACAGUGGUAAUUCUAGAGCUAAUACAUGCUGAAAAUCCCGACUUCGGAAGGGACGUAUUUAUUAGAAUCAGAACCAAUGCCCUUCGGGGUUUUCUGGUGACUCAUGAUAACUCCACAGAUCGCAUGGCCUUGCGCCGGCGAUGGCUCAUUCAAAUUUCUUCCCUAUCAACUUUCGACGGUACGGUCUUGGCCUACCGUGGUUGUAACGGGUGACGGAGGGUUAGGGCUCGACCCCGGAGAAGGAGCCUGAGAAACGGCUACUACAUCCAAGGAAGGCAGCAGGCGCGCAAAUUAUCCAAUCCCGACUCGGGGAGAUAGUGACAAUAAAUACCGAUACAGGGCUCUUUUGGGCCCUGUAAUUGGAAUGAGUACAAUUUAAACCUCUUAACGAGGAACAAUUGGAGGGCAAGUCUGGUGCCAGCAGCCGCGGUAAUUCCAGCUCCAAUAGCGUAUAUUAAAGUUGUUGUGGUUAAAAAGCUCGUAGUCGAACCUCGAGCCUGGCCGGCCGGUCCGCCUCACCGCGUGCACUGGUCUGGCCGGGCUCUUCCCUCUGCGGAACCGCAUGUCCUUCACUGGGCGUGUCGGGGAGGCAGGACUUUUACUUUGAAAAAAUUAGAGUGCUCAAGGCAGGCCAAUGCUCGAAUACAUUAGCAUGGAAUAAUAGAAUAGGACGUUGGUUCUAUUUUGUUGGUUUCUAGGACCGCCGUAAUGAUCAAUAGGGACGGUCGGGGGCAUCAGUAUUCAGCCGUCAGAGGUGA